ACCCUGCCAGCGUGGUUAGUAUUGAGGUGACUGGGCACGGCAGAGUGGGCAUGCAUAGCGCCAGUUGCACCUUCGCCCAGGGGACCAGCUGCACACGCCCGCCUCCACAAACACCGCGGCGGGCUGCAGCAUCCCGUAGAGGCGACAGUAAUUGUCCGAGUGGCCGAGAGAGGGAGAGUGGGGUAGAAGCGUGGCCAGCAUCACCGUGAUGCUGGUCAGCUACCUGUGCCCAGGUGUUGGUCCAGGUAGUGCAGGGCCAGACGCCUUGUUAUUAUAUGUCAGUGUGCCGCGGGCUGAGUCCCUCCCGUACAGGUGUUAUGGCUGCUCCUUCAGGCCACGCUUACCGUAGGGGCCGACCUCCUAGUCCGCUAUCACGGUUUCCUACGCCCUGGGGCCAGGUGCGUCGGCCUCUUGGACUAUGGGACCUACUAUGCAGGACUCUGCGAAUCUGAGGAGCUCUGCGUCCGCCCCCUAAAGUGUGAGGUACAGCACGUUGGUCCCUGUGUUGGGCUCCUUGAUCACAGGGCUCGCCGCGAGUGCAAAAUGUUGCCUGCUAGACCGAUCCGCUGCGCCCUCCUCCUACACCUGAGGAACCAGUCUUGUCAACCACUUAUACUCAGAGACCAAUUGCUCUGGCCUACUGAGCCACUCUACACCAUUCUCCGAGGCCUUGCAGUUCACUACACCGGUCCCUUUGGAGACCCUCACGCUGGCUGCCUGUCACCUGGGGCAGAGUGCGCCAGCCUUCUCAGCCACAGAAACACUACGCUAUCCUACGAGACUUCGGGAGCGGUUGCCUAGAAAUUAAAUUCUCUACAUUGGUCUGAUGGAUUUCGUAGCAAGUUAUGGAGCCCUGUAGCCUGGAGUCAUCUAUCUGGCCUGUCCGACUUUAGGGUCAUCAACGCUGUUAUGGCCCGUGGAGAUACACAACCUGGAGUGUGUACCUGCAUCCGGCGUCCAUCUCCUGAUUGCUCUGAGAAUUCACACAAUUGUUCAGAGAUAAAUGAAGUGAUAAAAAAAAAACCUUUGUCGUUGUAUAAGUAAACCUCGGGGUGAGCGUGGUGUCCCCCAAGGUGUGAACUUCCUCUCAGCAACAUCCCGGUUUACCUUGCAAUAUUGACCGACCCUCAAGUGCCCUCGGGUUGGGUCUUGACGUUGCUUAUAAUGAAUCUUCAGAAUUUUCAAGAUGGACUUUAUGUUGCUCCAAAAUGCGCAUUGUUAUGUUGAAGCGGACCGCAGCCUCCCUCAAGGUGAACUCCUACACCCUUCAAAAAAUGGAUCUCAGCAACACCACCUUCCAUGUUUGACCGAUCAGUGACUUAUGGAUCACCAGGCACCUGAAGCCCACCUUGAUAGAUUAGGAGACGAGAAGGAAGUGUGCGUAUGUCGCCUUGAUCACAGACGCCUUUAGGCUGAUCGUCCGUCGGCUGCACCACCUCGCGGAGAAUAUAAAAUGGGCAAAACCAACCAAGCACUAAAGGGGAGGUGGUGAUCAACGUGACGGCCAUGGAUCGACUCCCUCACCUGUGCGGUAUGUCUACCUUCUAAAACGACACACACUAACCUCCUCCUCUUACUCCACUACGGUCAACACACACACGGUAGUACUGAGGACAUCACCGUUGAAAGGUAAUAAAAUAGUUUGUUUUUUAAAGUAAUAUACACAGUACAUAGUUUGUUUUCCGUUAUAUCAAGCAGCUUAUCUAAUCUCAUUGAAACAUGAUUUUGGAAUUUGAUUGCUGUCUGAAUAAAGUCUCAUAAAUUUU